UCGAAAGAUAAGUGCUUUUUAAAUUUUUUUUUUUUUUAUCAGCUUAGAUUGUCACGUUUCUGCCUUUUUGUUGUGGAUUAUUUUCGAAUUUUUUAGUGUGUUAGGUCAGAUUUUGGGCGAAUCAUCAGAGAUAUUAAUUUCCCUUAUUAGUUUUCUUUUCUCUCAUUUUGCACAUUCAUCUCCAUCAAACCCUAGAAAUCGUUUCGUUUUUUGGGUAUCCGGAUGGCUCCUCCUUAUUUCUCCCUGCUCUUUGCUUCCCCGAACCCUAGAAUCCUCUCCAUUUCCCCUGAACGAGAAAUCCGAAACCCACAGCCCAAAACUCACUCAUACGUCGCCCCUCUCCUUGGUUUGCCACUUUCCUCAUCAAUGGUUCGUUCUCUCCAUUCGAUUCAAUUUCGCUGAAUCUGUCUCCCUUCGGCAGUGUUUUGGCGAAUCCGUUUGUGUUCAAUGGCGAUUUGAGCGAGGGCAGUGAGAGCUCUGGGGUUUCGUUUUUGGUCCCCUAUUAAGGGGGUGCGAUGGAUUUGUCAAAGGUCGGCGAGAAGAUUCUGAGCUCCUUUAGGUGUGCCAGAUUGCUCGGCCUUCUUCCUUCUGCUUCUGAUCGCCCGAGGUGAUGACAUUGACAGUGUUGAAAUCAUGGACAUGGGGUUGUGGUUUGUCAACUAUUUCCAGGCCAAUAGUUUAUAACUAUUGCCCAUCUGUUCUGUUGAGGUAUUUUUCAAUUUUUUUGUUGUUUAAAUUUAUAUGUUAUUCAUCUUUUGUGAGCAUUCGUUCCAGGAUUUUACGAAAUUCUUAAAAUUUUAUUUAAUUGAAUUUAUGGUCGUUCGGUAAUUUUUUUAUUUCCAGAAUCCUCUAAUCCUAUUGAUGCAAUGAGUCGUAGGGGAGCCACGAGUUCACCGAAGCUUUCAAAUUUUGCCCACUCACUCAUUGAUUGGCACGUGGUUUUUCAAGCUUUUGCAACCACUUUGGGUCUGGCAAAGGUUAUUAUCUUAAUCGACAAGAUGCAAAACGAGGAGUCAAUCAUCAC